CGUGAGGCAUGUACGUUCGUUUGCACGCGUGUUACAGGCCUACUAGUUGGGGGCACUGGUGGAAGACGCAUUCUUUGAGGCGAAUGAUAAUAGAUCAAGCGGUUACUCCGAGUGUCGGGAGAAAACGCCCAUCGUAAAGGCAAAUAAAAAAAAAUGGAUAAAUCAGGAUUAGAUACAUUCGUUCUAUCUGAGAAGGACAAAGAAGACUUUCGUGCCCUUAUGCAAGACGUGUUCAUUCCAUACGAGCCCAUGUGCGUAGGCUGUAAGGGAACCGCCAAGGAGCUCCUCCCUUUCAUAUUAGGAUUUGGAGCCAAAGGACUCGCAA